UACGAAGGGUGCAAGCGUUACUCGGAAUUACUGGGCGUAAAGCGUGCGUAGGUGGUUUGUUAAGUCUGUUGUGAAAGCCCCGGGCUCAACCUGGGAAUGGCAAUGGAUACUGGCAAGCUAGAGUGCGGUAGAGGGUAGUGGAAUUCCCGGUGUAGCGGUGAAAUGCGUAGAGAUCGGGAGGAACAUCAAUUGCGAAGGCGGCUCUCUGGACCAGCACUGACACUGAGGCACGAAAGCGUGGGGAGCGAACAGG
rnacentral:rRNA from 1 species